UAUCCGAAACGUCGAGUAUGUAAACAACUUAGUAAACCGCGAUGAAAUCCGAAAAUGUUGUCUCAUUAUAAUGAGCGAAAUUCACGCAAACAUUAGAAAACAAUAUAAAGGUAGGAAUUACUGUUAAUAAUUGUUUUAAUAAUAAACGUUCCCAUUUAUCUUGAGAGUUAAGUAGUGGACAUAAAAUAGUAUCAAAUAAGAUCAGAUUUCAUAGUACACAUGCGUAAACGAAUGUAUUUGUUCAUUACACAUAUUUAAAUUGAGGCUUUAAAAACGAAUAAAGCAAAAUGUUAGUAUCGGAAAAACCACUCACAAAUAUUCUAGUAACACGUUCUCAAAAUUUUUAUCUAUACUAAUAUUAUUAAGCGGAAAAGUUUGUUUGUUUGUUUGAUUGAUUUCAUAGUACACAUGCGUAAACCAAUGUAUUUGUUCCUUACACACAUUUGAAUUAAGGCUGUAAAACGAAUAAAGAAAAAUGUUAGUAUCGGAAAAAC
rnacentral:misc_RNA from 1 species